GAUAAACUUAUUAAAUAGAGUUUUUGGAAUGACGUCUAUCGUACCUCCUGAAGAAUGUUUUCAGAUUUCUCUUUCAAUUGACAAAAAUCUGAUGGGUUAUGUGAAAAAUACGAAUACUCAGCUCUUCAUUAUGAAUGAACUGCUCAGUAAAUGUUUGGGAACUUUGUCAGUCCAGAUUGUGCGUGCUGAUAAUCAACAAGAAAGUGAAAAUACGAUGAUCCCAGGAAAUUCUCCCUCAAGCUGCAAACGGCUGAAACAAGCAGGUGAUGAAAAGAGUUCAAUACACGAACAUUUGAUUCGACCUCCAGUAUCUGAGGAGAGCCAAACAGUCAAACAAGAGGAAUUAGACGAAAGCGCUAAUGAUGAAGACGAUGAUGAUAUAAUUUGUAUAAAAGAAGAAGCCAGUCCACUAAAUCAUUUUCCAGAAUUAAGCAGUAGUGGUGUUGACCAACUGCGAGUAGGAACAACAACAGCUAUUGAUCCAUACGAAUCUUCGGAAAUAAUUCCCGGCUUGUUUAGUGAGAUUCCAUCGUUCGUCUCCAACGAGAAUCAUUUGGGCUUUGGUAUCGAUUGGGAGCAAGAGCUUGAUUUACGACCAAGAUGUCAAAUAGGUUCAUUUACUGAUGAUGCUUGUGGGGCGCACCCACAAGUAGGAAACUCAAACGGUGGGCUAGCGAAAACCGGUAGGACGAAGAAGAAUAUUCAAAUUAAAGCAAUAACAUCGACAAAAAGCAGCGAGAAAUACUCAAGUCCAGUCAAAGAUGUUAUCCCAAUUCCCCUCCCAGAAGUUGGCCCCAGUGUAAACCAGUAUUACAGCUGCCCUCUAUGCGAUAAUCAGUUCACUUGUCGGCCAAAUGCACUUCGACAUAUGAAGUCAGUGCAUGGAAAUGUUCGCUACGAAUGCCAAAUUUGUAAGAAGAGCUUCAACCGAAAAGAUAUUUUGAAAGGACAUAUCAUGGGAUCGCAUGAAUUAAACGCAGAAGUAGCACGAGCGAUGGUCGAUUGUACUUCUACUUCCAACAAAAUCACUUAGCUCAUUGAAUGCGGACAGGGAGAGGGGGAGGAGACGACUGGACAAUCCAGUAAUUUGAGUUAUUUUCUUCUCAAACUUCUUUCAAGGGAAGCAGAAUCCGUAGAAACCCAGCCACCUCGCUAUGCCUGCAAUUGCUGCAGUAGAGACAACUCCGGCAAGGCCGCCGCCACCUUCUUCAAGCAAUAAGAGUAGCCGUCUCCGUCAACCAUAUCAAACUGUAGUUACAGAAGCUUCGGCUUUGCCUCAAGUGGCAUCGCACAUCAGCCACUUUUUCAGCUGUCCUCUUUGCGAAAACCAGUUUACGUCAAAGUCAACUGCAUUGCGACAUAUGAAAUCAGUGCAUGGAAAUAUUCGCUAUGCUUGUCAGAUUUGCAAGAAAACUUUUAACCGUAAAGACAUUUUGAAACAGCAUAUAAUGGGUUCGCAUGAAAUGAAUUCUGAGGUUGCAAGAGCCAUGGUUGAGUGUGAUUCUACCAAAAACACACUCAUGAAUGAGUAGUUAACCUAUGAAUGAAGUAUUCAUCCAUCUAUGAAUGAAGUGUAUGUUGAAUAUUGACGUUCAUUUGCCAAUUAAACCCCGCCCCGCCCGACUGGUAAUACCUAAUCAAUCUUAAAAUUAUUAUAAGCAAUUCGCAUUUUGAAAUUAUUUAAGACUGGUCAUGACAAGCGAAUGUAUUUAAAAAUUUUGAUUUGCUAAUCAAUAACUUUCCCUGACGAUAAUUAUUCACUUUUAGAUCGGUGCUGGAUGUAUGAGCAGUCCAAGAAAGCACAAUUCCUUGCUCAAUUUGUAGAUCCUUUAUUGUUUAUCGCAUUGUAAGACUUCCUAUGAUUUCAGCGCCUGAUUUUUAAAAAUGAUUGCCUAUUUUGAAGUAAUAACUUGUUCAGUAGUUGCAGUGUUUAUAACAUAAAUGUAUGUGUCAUUAUUUUAAAGUUAAACUUGUGAGCAAAUAUCAAACUGGUUUUGAGCUUAAUAUAAACUUAAAAUUCAACAUGUG